rnacentral:rRNA from 1 species
CCUACGGGUGGCAGCAGUGAGGAAUAUUGGUCAAUGGGCGGAAGCCUGAACCAGCCAAGUAGCGUGCAGGAUGACGGCCCUACGGGUUGUAAACUGCUUUUAUACGGGAAUAACGCGCCUUACGUGUAGGGCUUUGCAUGUACCGUAUGAAUAAGGACCGGCUAAUUCCGUGCCAGCAGCCGCGGUAAUACGGAGGAUGCGAGCGUUAUCCGGAUUUAUUGGGUUUAAAGGGUGCGUAGGCGGACUGUUAAGUCAGCGGUAAAAGCCCGGGGCUCAACCCCGGCGAGCCGUUGAAACUGGCUGUCUUGAGAUGUCGAGAGGUAUGCGGAAUGCGCAGUGUAGCGGUGAAAUGCAUAGAUAUCACGCAGAACUCCGAUUGCGAAGGCAGCAUACCGGCGCUCAACUGACGCUCAUGCACGAAAGUGUGGGUAUCGAACAGGAUUAGAUACCCUAGUAGUC